CACGUUCGGAUUGUAGUCUGCAACCCGACUACAUGAAGCUGGAAUCGCUAGUAAUCGCGGAUCAGAAUGCCGCGGUGAAUACGUUCCCGGGUCUUGUACACACCGCCCGUCACACCAUGGGAGUCGGAAAUGCCCGAAGUCAGUGACCCAACCGUAAGGAGGGAGCUGCCGAAGGUGGAGCCGGUAACUGGGGUGAAGUCGUAACAAGGUAGC
rnacentral:rRNA from 1 species